rnacentral:antisense_RNA from 1 species
AAUAGCCAAAAAUCUCCCCAGCACCCAGGGUGGGAUUGUCUACCACCCGCAUAGCCCCUAAGUCAGGGUCAUAUAAUCCUCCGCCAAACAUGGCUUGAGCUACCAGUAACCAGGCACCCAGCCCCAGUAGCACCAGGUGAAUCCCAAUAAUCGUGGUCAUCUUGCGGUCAUCUUUCCA